rnacentral:rRNA from 1 species
GUGCCAGCAGCCGCGGUAAUACGGAGGAUGCAAGCGUUAUCCGGAUUUAUUAGGUUUAAAGGGUGUGUAGGCGGGAGUCUAAGUCAGUGGUGAAAUCUUUCGGCUUAACCGAAAAACUGCCAUUGAAACUGGAUUUCUUGAGUAUAGUUGAGGUAGGCGGAAUGUGUAAUGUAGCGGUGAAAUGCUUAGAUAUUACACAGAACACCGAUUGCGAAGGCAGCUUACUAAGCUAUUACUGACGCUGAUGCACGAAAGCGUGGGUAGCGAACAGGAUUAGAUACCCUGGUAGUCC